rnacentral:tRNA from 1 species
GGAAGGGUGGCUGAGUGGUUAAAGGCACCUGACUCGAAAUCAGGAGUAGGGGCAACCCUACCGUGGGUUCGAAUCCCACCCCUUCCGCCA